GGAUGUGAGGGCGAUCUGGCUGCGACAUCUGUCACCCCAUUGAUCGCUAGGUUUGAUUUCGGCUGAUCUGGCUGGCUAGGCGGGUGUCCCCUUCCUCCCUCACCGCUCCAUGUGUGUCCCUCCCGAAGCCCAGCGCUCGGUGGCAGAGGACGAGGUCCCCCCCGGCGGACGACCAUCCAUCGGUGUACCAGUAGCUACGCUCCCCUGCUAGAACCUCCAAACAAGCUCAAGGCCCAUUUGUAGGAGAAACGUAGGGAAGUUAAGCUCCAAGCGUCAGGCACAUCCAAAUGAGGCGCUGCACGUGGCAGUCUGCCUUCCUUU
ensembl:misc_RNA 7SK 7SK RNA